GUAGAGAUCAGAUUGUCGACUGCGGGGAAAAAAUCGAGAGAGAGAGAGAGAGAGAAUGGGUAGGUUAGUCGGAGUGACUGCAGCUCCGUUCACGUAUGCAUCGCACGUGCUGGGGUUGGCGGCGGCGGUGCUCGUGCUCGUUUGGUGCAUCAAUUUUCGGGGAGGCCUCGCCUUUGAGGCCACCAACAAGAAUCUCAUCUUCAAUAUUCAUCCAGUUCUCAUGCUGAUCGGCUUUAUUAUCCUCGGGGGUGAAGCAAUAAUGAGCUAUAGAGGUCUUCCAUGGAGUAAAGAAGUAAAGAAAUUGAUCCAUUUGAUUCUCCAUGGGAUUGCGAUUGUUCUUGGUGCUGUGGGAAUCUAUGCUGCCUUCAAAUUUCACAAUGAAAGUGGAAUUGCCAAUCUUUACAGCUUGCACUCUUGGCUUGGACUUGGUACAAUCUGUUUAUACGGCAUUCAGUGGAUUUUUGGGUUUGUAACCUUCUUCUUCCCUGGAGCUGCACCAAAUAUAAGACGUGAUGCACUUCCAUGGCACGUGCUGUUGGGGCUCUUUGUUUACAUACUUGCCGUCGCUACUGCUCAACUCGGGCUUCUUGAGAAGCUCACCUUCCUCCAGAGUUCAGGGCUUGCGAAAUAUGGUACUGAAGCGUACUUGGUUAAUUUCACUGCCCUUGUUGUGGUAUUGCUCGGCACAUCAGUUGUGAUAUCGGCCAUUGCCCCUGUUCAUGUUGAAGACGCAGUUGGUUAUAGCUCCAUAUCGGAGAGUUAAAUACGCAUUACUAAAUGUCUAAAUGCGAACAUAGUAUUACUUACUAUGGUGAAUUAUAUUUGGUGCGUGUAUGAGAUUAGAUGCUCUCUCUGCGUGUGCAAGUGUUUUCUUAUCUCUUGGGUGAAAAUUAUACUGAGAACAGCCGCUGUUAUAGAGCAUCAGUGGAGAAUUUCAUGGCAUUUGUGUCUUCUUUCCAGCGAAUUCGACGCUGCCGCCGACAGAUGCCGUGGCAGUCUAUGGUCCUUACUCUGGACCGUGACAGUGUUUGCUGGCCGCACACCGUCGAACUGCUGCUGCUUCUUCGCUACUGCUGCUUUUAUCCUUCGCUGUUUGUUGCUUCUAUGUUAGAGCCACAUCAACCAUCCAAUGAUACAGGUUUUCAGUUUGAAAAUCCAAAAAUAAAAUUUGAGUCGAAGUAUCCGCAUUUUUUGGAUA